rnacentral:rRNA from 1 species
CAGCAGCCGCGGGAAUACGAAGGGUGCAAGCGUUAAUCGGAAUUACCGGGCGUAAAGCGUGCGUAGGCGGUGAGUUAAGUCUGCUGUGAAAUCCCCGGGCUCAACCUGGGAAUGGCAGUGGAUACUGGCUCGCUAGAGUGUGUCAGAGGAUGGUGGAAUUCCCGGUGUAGCGGUGAAAUGCGUAGAGAUCGGGAGGAACAUCAGUGGCGAAGGCGGCCAUCUGGGACAACACUGACGCUGAGGCACGAAAGCGUGGGGAGCAAACAGGAUUAGAUACCCCUGUAGUCCCUGUCUCUUAUAC